GGGUUGUGAGGUUAAGCGACUAAGCGUACACGGUGGAUGCCCUGGCAGUCAGAGGCGAUGAAGGACGUGCUAAUCUGCGAUAAGCGCCGGUAAGGUGAUAUGAACCGUUAUAACCGGCGAUUUCCGAAUGGGGAAACCCAGUGUGAUUCGUCACACUAUCAUUAACUGAAUCCAUAGGUUAAUGAGGCGAACCGGGGGAACUGAAACAUCUAAGUACCCCGAGGAAAAGAAAUCAACCGAGAUUCCCCCAGUAGCGGCGAGCGAACGGGGAGGAGCCCAGAGCCUGAAUCAGCAUGUGUGUUAGUGGAAGCGUCUGGAAAGGCGCGCGAUACAGGGUGACAGCCCCGUACACAAAAGCGCAUGUGCUGUGAGCUCGAUGAGUAGGGCGGGACACGUGGUAUCCUGUCUGAAUAUGGGGGGACCAUCCUCCAAGGCUAAAUACUCCUGACUGACCGAUAGUGAACCAGUACCGUGAGGGAAAGGCGAAAAGAACCCCGGCGAGGGGAGUGAAAAAGAACCUGAAACCGUGUACGUACAAGCAGUGGGAGCCCCACCACUAAGCCAGUGGUGAACUCUACAUACGCAUCCUUUGCUGAGGAUACGGUUAACGGAGCGAAAGCGACGUUCAACCUCAAAAGAAGCAGAGGGGGCUUAGUGGUGGGGUGACUGCGUACCUUUUGUAUAAUGGGUCAGCGACUUAUAUUCUGUAGCAAGGUUAACCGAAUAGGGGAGCCGGAGGGAAACCGAGUCUUAAUUGGGCGUUAAGUUGCAGGGUAUAGACCCGAAACCCGGUGAUCUAGCCAUGGGCAGGUUGAAGGUUGGGUAACACUAACUGGAGGACCGAACCGACUAAUGUUGAAAAAUUAGCGGAUGACCUGUGGCUGGGGGUGAAAGGCCAAUCAAACCGGGAGAUAGCUGGUUCUCCCCGAAAGCUAUUUAGGUAGCGCCUCGUGAAUUCAUCUCCGGGGGUAGAGCACUGUUUCGGCUAGGGGGCCAUCCCGGCUUACCAACCCGAUGCAAACUGCGAAUACCGGAGAAUGUUAUCACGGGAGACACACGGCGGGUGCUAACGUCCGUCGUGAAGAGGGAAACAACCCAGACCGCCAGCUAAGGUCCCAAAGUCAUGGUUAAGUGGGAAACGAUGUGGGAAGGCCCAGACAGCCAGGAUGUUGGCUUAGAAGCAGCCAUCAUUUAAAGAAAGCGUAAUAGCUCACUGGUCGAGUCGGCCUGCGCGGAAGAUGUAACGGGGCUAAACCAUGCACCGAAGCUGCGGCAGCGACGCUGAUGCGUUGUUGGGUAGGGGAGCGUUCUGUAAGCCUGCGAAGGUGGCCUGUGAGGGUUGCUGGAGGUAUCAGAAGUGCGAAUGCUGACAUAAGUAACGAUAAAGCGGGUGAAAAGCCCGCUCGCCGGAAGACCAAGGGUUCCUGUCCAACGUUAAUCGGGGCAGGGUGAGUCGACCCCUAAGGCGAGGCCGAAAGGCGUAGUCGAUGGGAAACGGGUUAAUAUUCCCGUACUUGGUGUUACUGCGAAGGGGGGACGGAGAAGGCUAUGUUGGCCGGGCGACGGUUGUCCCGGUUUAAGCGUGUAGGUGUGUGUUCCAGGUAAAUCCGGUUCACUUUAACACUGAGGCGUGACGACGAGGCACUACGGUGCUGAAGCAACAAAUGCCCUGCUUCCAGGAAAAGCCUCUAAGCAUCAGGUAACAUCAAAUCGUACCCCAAACCGACACAGGUGGUCAGGUAGAGAAUACCAAGGCGCUUGAGAGAACUCGGGUGAAGGAACUAGGCAAAAUGGUGCCGUAACUUCGGGAGAAGGCACGCUGACACGUAGGUGAAGUGAUUUACUCAUGGAGCUGAAGUCAGUCGAAGAUACCAGCUGGCUGCAACUGUUUAUUAAAAACACAGCACUGUGCAAACACGAAAGUGGACGUAUACGGUGUGACGCCUGCCCGGUGCCGGAAGGUUAAUUGAUGGGGUCAGCGCAAGCGAAGCUCCUGAUCGAAGCCCCGGUAAACGGCGGCCGUAACUAUAACGGUCCUAAGGUAGCGAAAUUCCUUGUCGGGUAAGUUCCGACCUGCACGAAUGGCGUAAUGAUGGCCAGGCUGUCUCCACCCGAGACUCAGUGAAAUUGAACUCGCUGUGAAGAUGCAGUGUACCCGCGGCAAGACGGAAAGACCCCGUGAACCUUUACUAUAGCUUGACACUGAACAUUGAGCCUUGAUGUGUAGGAUAGGUGGGAGGCUUUGAAGUGUGGACGCCAGUCUGCAUGGAGCCGACCUUGAAAUACCACCCUUUAAUGUUUGAUGUUCUAACGUGGACCCGUUACCCGGGUUGCGGACAGUGUCUGGUGGGUAGUUUGACUGGGGCGGUCUCCUCCUAAAGAGUAACGGAGGAGCACGAAGGUUGGCUAAUCCUGGUCGGACAUCAGGAGGUUAGUGCAAUGGCAUAAGCCAGCUUGACUGCGAGCGUGACGGCGCGAGCAGGUGCGAAAGCAGGUCAUAGUGAUCCGGUGGUUCUGAAUGGAAGGGCCAUCGCUCAACGGAUAAAAGGUACUCCGGGGAUAACAGGCUGAUACCGCCCAAGAGUUCAUAUCGACGGCGGUGUUUGGCACCUCGAUGUCGGCUCAUCACAUCCUGGGGCUGAAGUAGGUCCCAAGGGUAUGGCUGUUCGCCAUUUAAAGUGGUACGCGAGCUGGGUUUAGAACGUCGUGAGACAGUUCGGUCCCUAUCUGCCGUGGGCGCUGGAGAACUGAGGGGGGCUGCUCCUAGUACGAGAGGACCGAAGUGGACGCAUCACUGGUGUUCGGGUUGUCAUGCCAAUGGCACUGCCCGGUAGCUAAAUGCGGAAGAGAUAAGUGCUGAAAGCAUCUAAGCACGAAACUUGCCCCGAGAUGAGUUCUCCCUGAGACUUAGAGUCUCCUGAAGGAACGUUGAAGACGACGACGUUGAUAGGCCGGGUGUGUAAGCGCAGCGAUGCGUUGAGCUAACCGGUACUAAUGAACCGUGAGGCUUAACCUUACAACGCCGAAG
rnacentral:rRNA from 1 species